rnacentral:rRNA from 1 species
GAUGAACGCUGGCGGCGUGCCUAAUACAUGCAAGUCGAGCGAACAGACGAGGAGCUUGCUCCUCUGACGUUAGCGGCGGACGGGUGAGUAACACGUGGAUAACCUACCUAUAAGACUGGGAUAACUUCGGGAAACCGGAGCUAAUACCGGAUAAUAUAUUGAACCGCAUGGUUCAAUAGUGAAAGACGGUUUUGCUGUCACUUAUAGAUGGAUCCGCGCCGCAUUAGCUAGUUGGUAAGGUAACGGCUUACCAAGGCGACGAUGCGUAGCCGACCUGAGAGGGUGAUCGGCCACACUGGGACUGAGACACGGUCCAGACUCCUACGGGAGGCAGCAGUAGGGAAUCUUCCGCAAUGGGCGAAAGCCUGACGGAGCAACGCCGCGUGAGUGAUGAAGGUAUUCGGAUCGUAAAACUCUGUUAUUAGGGAAGAACAAAUGUGUAAGUAACUAUGCACGUCUUGACGGUACCUAAUCAGAAAGCCACGGCUAACUACGUG